rnacentral:rRNA from 1 species
UACACUCCUACGGGAGGCAGCAGUGAGGAAUAUUGGACAAUGGGUGGAAGCCUGAUCCAGCCAUCCCGCGUGCAGGAAGACGGCCCUAUGGGUUGUAAACUGCUUUUAUCUGGGGAUAAACCUACUUACGUGUAAGUAGCUGAAGGUACCAGAAGAAUAAGCACCGGCUAACUCCGUGCCAGCAGCCGCGGUAAUACGGAGGGUGCAAGCGUUAUCCGGAUUUAUUGGGUUUAAAGGGUCCGUAGGCGGACUGAUAAGUCAGUGGUGAAAUCCGACAGCUUAACUGUCGAACUGCCAUUGAUACUGUUAGUCUUGAGUAAGGUUGAAGUGGCUGGAAUAAGUAGUGUAGCGGUGAAAUGCAUAGAUAUUACUUAGAACACCAAUUGCGAAGGCAGGUCACUAAGUCUUAACUGACGCUGAUGGACGAAAGCGUGGGGAGCGAACAGGAUUAGAAACCCUUGUAGUCCCAUGA